CUUCUUUCCACGCCCCUCCGGAGCUCCCGGGGAGGAAGCUGGAACACGGGAUUGGGGUUCGGGAGCAGGGGGCUUCCCCAGAACGCUUGUGGCCAGGUCUGAGAGCGCUGCCUCUCCCCUACCCCCCCGCAGACCCGCACCCGAGGAUCUGACGGUGGUGCUCGGCCAGGAACGCCAUAACCACAGCUGUGAGCAGUGCCAGACGUUGGCCGUGCGCUCCUACCGCUUGCACGAGGCCUUCUCGCCCGUCAGCUACCAGCACGACCUGGGUGCGUGGGGGCGCCCCGCGGGGACGGGAAGAGAGCUUGGGGCCCCGGCGUCCCCGCCUCACGCUCCUCUCCGCCCGGGUUAGCUCUGUUGCGCCUUCAGGAGGAUGCGGACGGCAGCUGCGCGCUCCUGUCGCCUUACGUUCAGCCGGUGUGCCUGCCAAGCGGCGCCGCGCGACCCUCCGAGACCACGCUCUGCCAGGUGGCCGGCUGGGGCCACCAGUUCGAGGGGGCGGAGGAAUAUGCCAGCUUCCUGCAGGAGGCGCAGGUACCCUUCCUCUCCCUGGAGCGCUGCUCAGCCCCGGACGUGCACGGAUCCUCCAUCCUCCCCGGCAUGCUCUGCGCAGGGUUCCUCGAGGGCGGCACCGAUGCGUGCCAGGGUGAUUCCGGAGGCCCGCUGGUGUGUGAGGACCAAGCUGCAGAGCGCCGGCUCACCCUGCAAGGCAUCAUCAGCUGGGGAUCGGGCUGUGGUGACCGCAACAAGCCAGGCGUCUACACCGAUGUGGCCUACUACCUGGCCUGGAUCCGGGAGCACACCGUUUCCUGAUUGCUCAGGGACUCAUCUUUCCCUCCUUGGUGAUUCCGCAGUGAGAGAGUGGCUGGGGCAUGGAAGGCAAGAUUGUGUCCCAUUCCCCCAGUGCGGCCAGCUCCGCGCCAGGAUGGCGCAGGAACUCAA
rnacentral:sRNA from 1 species